UCCGUGUACAAUAUUUAUUGUCUCCCCUCGUAGUUAUUUUCUAUUUCGGCGUCAAUUAUAAAUUUCACAAUGUAUAAGAUAAGGUUAUGUUUAUAAAAAAAAAAAAAAAAAAACUGAAAUGGAUAAUUAUUAAUUUAUUGUGUUUCUGAAAUAAUUUUAUCAAUUAUUUACUUAUUUUAUUGGUUGAAUUUGCGGUAUUACUAUUGUAUUAUUUUUUUUUUUUUAUCAUAAUGUCCGCAUUAAUUACGUGUAUAAAAACGUUAAGUGUCACGUCUGUAAUUAUGUAUCUUACUUAAGUCGUCUCGCCGUGUAUUUAAAUACAGGUACCUGUCUAUUAAAAAGAGCUCCGUACCGAAUCGGCUGUCUUAUUCAAAGUGGGUGAAAACUAUUCGGGGAUGAGACGCGUGUCCGUCCGCCACUCGUCAUCUAUAACGCGUGGCAAUAUAAAUUUGCACAUUUCCGUUUUAAACAUAUUCGAUUUGUAUAGAAAUAAUUCGACCGGUUUUAAACACUACGUGUCCCGUACAUUAUAAUUACACGUGCGGCGCGCGAUUGCUUGUGUUAAAAAGACGAAUAUUUGACUAUCGGACACGAGAAUCGGACGUUCGUUAAUAAUAUUGUUGCGCCAAUUAACUGCAAAAUAUGAUACGGGCGUAGUUUUCUUUGGGGAACUCGAUAAAUAAUAAUACAGUUGGAAUGAAAAAAAAAAAAAAAAAAAACGACGAUGACUAAUACGGUAAACAUAAUAUUUUAGUCAUGAUUUAAAAAUAAUAACACAACACUCGAUCGUUUCGAUAUACAAUAGAGGAAUAUAUAUUAUAAUAUUGCGUUAGGUACCGA